AGUGAACGCUGGCGGUAGGCCUAACACAUGCAAGUCGAACGGCAGCACAGUAAGAGCUUGCUCUUACGGGUGGCGAGUGGCGGACGGGUGAGGAAUACAUCGGAAUCUACUUUUUCGUGGGGGAUAACGUAGGGAAACUUACGCUAAUACCGCAUACGACCUACGGGUGAAAGCAGGGGAUCUUCGGACCUUGCGCGAUUGAAUGAGCCGAUGUCGGAUUAGCUAGUUGGCGGGGUAAAGGCCCACCAAGGCGACGAUCCGUAGCUGGUCUGAGAGGAUGAUCCGCCACACUUGAACUUGGACCAGGUCCCGACUCCUACGGGAGGCAGCAGUUGGGAAUAUUGGACAAUGGGCGCAAGCCUGAUCCAGCCAUUCCGCGUGGGUGAAAGAGGCCUUCGGGUUGUAAAACCCUUUUGUUGGGAAAGAAAAGCAGCAGGUUAAUACCCCGCUGUUCUGACGGUACCCAAAGAAUAAGCACCGGCUAACUUCGUG
rnacentral:rRNA from 1 species